rnacentral:piRNA from 2 species
UAAGACAUGGUCCUUACUCUUGAGAGGUUUU